CGCCUCUGUGUUGCCUGUUCACCUUGGAACUAGUGGACACGGUGUCAAAUGAGGCGGAAAGAAAAGCUCUGGGCAGGGUUUGCCCGCUCGAGACCCACCUGUCUCGGGCCAGGAACUGCCUUGGGAACAGGU